UCCUCCGCUUAUUGAUAUGCUUAAGUUCAGCGGGUGUCCUUACCUGACUGAGGUCAAAUCAUGAAAAAUUUAUAGACACGGAACCACACGAUAUGGUCGCAUCUAAUAGAGAUUUGGCAUUAAGAUAGACGAAUAAAAAAAAAUUUAUGUACGUCUAAAAUCAACAAAAAAGUCAAAUUUUAACCUCCUAAAAAAUACCCUAAAAGGGUGUUGUAAUA
rnacentral:misc_RNA from 1 species